GUAGUGUAUGCUUCUCCUAAAGACUAAGCCAUGCAUGCUUGAAUAGAAGACAUCAAAUCUCUCUGAAUCUGCGAACGGCUCCGCAAACCAGUUGUAAACCAUAGCAAGCACCCCAGGACUGGGGUCGCCUCCUUUUUCCGGGGAGGGGAUCUUGGAUCCUGGGUUUAUAUGGAUAUCCAUGGUAAUUCUGAGGCUAAUACAAGAACGUUACCACCUGACUGACCAGGUCCGGGAAAUCCCGCUGGGAUGUCGGGGAUUGUGUGAUAGAAUUGCACCACCUUAUGGCGGUGACUCGGUGCACAGUCAGACCACUAUACCAAACGAUCUUGGUACUUCGUGAGGGCCCCCGGGUGACUUGGGGUGAGUGCGCGGUCCUUGAUUCGGGUGGCUCUUGCUUCGUGCUUCUGACCUAUCAACUAGAUUGCAGCGUAAGGGACAUGCUAUGGUUACAACGGGUACAGAGGAUAAGGGUUCGAUCCUGGAGAGUGGGCCUGAGAGAUUGCUCACACUUCUAAGGAAGGCAGCAGGCGCGUAACGUUCCCAAUGGGUAAACCUGAGGGCGUUAGGGGACAUAUGAAUGCCCGCCAUUA
rnacentral:rRNA from 1 species